UAUUAUUACAGUAACAAUAAAAUGCAAUGUCUGAGAAAAACAUAACAACUCAAUGAAAAGAAUAAAGCCCUAUAAUCAUGUCCUUAAUUAUAGAAGAAUUGUAACAGCUCCAAUUUUGCUAAACUCAUUUUAAAAUCUACUUUUGGUUUUUAAUUCAUACAAAGUGAUUUGAUACUUGAAGUGUAUAUCGUAUAUGUUGGUAUUUGCUUGCCAUUCAGUGUUGCAUUUAAAUACUAUUCUAUAAAAAAGAACUGAGGAUAAAUUCAAGCUGAUAAUUUGGUGUGUGUCAGGUUUUGUGAAUAUUAUCUAUCUAAACAUUUUGAACGGAGUACUGAGAAAAUAAUACACAAUUCUGUGAUGCUUCCUCGUACAUGGAAACAACCUGUUCCUCUGUAAGUUCUACGAGCUCAGAGGGGCUUUUCAUGAAAUGUGUAUUUGAGAUUGGGAAAAAAAUGCCAAAAAAACAGAGCUAUUGAGUACCCUAAGUGCAGAUUAAAAGGGGCAGUUCCAAAGAACUGAACAAAUAUGUGUGCUUGUAUAAGCAUUUAGAGAAAUUCUGAAAAAUUGAAACACCUUUUUUUUUUGUCUUCUUUUUUUUCUUCCUACCCCAAAUAUACCCUAUCAGGGACUUAUAUGUCAUAUGACUAAUUAUAUAGUGUAGAUAAGACUUUCAAAUUAAACUGAAAUUUUCAUUAAUCAUCAAUAUAAAAUAGAGGAUAUCAUUUUUUCCUCUUUAAAAUCUUGAAGAUUAACAGAGGGAUCACUUUCCAGAACUACGUAACAAAAUUUGGGUGUCUUACACAGAUAUCUGUAUGAAAGGUAAUUAUCUAAUUCUUUAAACAGGACAGACAGUGAUGUCUGCAGGGCAAUUUAUCUAACCAGUUGCCUAUUUGGGAGGAGAUAUAAAACUUCUUACACUCCAUUAAUUGUGUGGACUGGAUCUUCCAGUGGGGAUUAAGUUUCUUAUAAACAGGAAUUUUGGGUUUCAUCUCAUCUUACUUCAACCCUUUACAUUUUUUUUUUGUAUAAAUAGGUUCCUUUUAUACAGUAACUAAAAUUUUUAAAUAAGAGUAUCAGUAAAACAAAACAUUAUUUUUGUCUUUCCCUGCCCUCCCCCACCAAAUCCAGAUUGGCCAGAUAUUGCUAGUGAGAUCCCUGAACUGGGAUGCUGUCACUGAGCAUCACGAGCAGAAUCAUUUCAUGUGGCUCUCACGUAAUACUGUUCUCAGGUGACUGUUUUGCAUACAAUAAAAGAGUAGGCAGUUAUCAUAUCCUAUUAUUAUGAGCCAUUAAUCAGACAUUUCUGACAGUUAAAAGUAUUAGUCUUCAUAUCUCAGCAAAUAGUUGGAAUCUAAGCCUCUUGUUGGAAUUCUGUCUCACUAUGUGAAUCAGAGGAUUUUGGGCUGCGUGUUGGGGUGAGUAAAGACAAAUAUUGCAUAGAAGAAUAAGAUGGAGAAACCUACGUAAUGUACCCAGGAUACAAUAAUUAAUGUUUUAUUAUACUGAGAUAAGCGUGAAUAAAUGAUAAGCUUUUCUUAACACAGUGAGCUGAGAAAAGGGUCAGGAGUCUGAGGAAAAAUAUCAGGACUCUAAAGAGGAGUAGGAGAAUUGAUGAAUAAUCAAAGUAGUCUCUGAGAAGAGAUAUGUGAACACCUCAAUCAGUGAUGAAAGAUUGUCUUUGACUCUCAGUGAGCUGUUUAAAGCCUAUUCAGUUCUGGUGAUAAUGUGGCUUGAAUUCCUGAAGUGCUGACUUACUCAGCUUCCCUUAUUCCAUGAGGUGCUACCAAAGAAACAUGGGGAGUUGAUACAUCCAUGGAUGAGGAAUUUAAUGUUUAGAGCAAUAAAAACUGCAAUGCUUUACAGCUUGUGGAGAUCCCACAUUCUGUACAGGCGAAGGUAUAGCGUCCUUUCCAUCCCUGUGCUCAUGUCUGUCUCGUGUGUGACAGUGUUUGGCUUUGUGCUUUCAUGUGCACUGUCUGCGCUUGGCACUGGAGGGAAGAAAAGCUCACAAAGAUUUGUACUGAGAGCUACAAAAUUCUGGUGGGAAUGGAUCCUAGCACCCCUAAGGCAAGAGCUGCCCUUGCUUUUGAAUAAGAAUUAUAAAUGUCUUCCAGUGGAGUUAAAGUCUGCAUUUGGAAACAGAGUGGAGGAAUUAGGGGUUCGAUAAAACUGAUUCUGCCCCAAAAAUGAAUUUUGAAUUCUGUAUGUGCUUGAUUGGUGAUGUUUUGUCACCUUUUCUUCCCAAAUCUUCUGAGAAACAGCUAGCCUCAUUAAAGAAUUUUCUGAACUCCUGAGAUAACUGGAAGACCCAAACUGCCAAGACCUGAAGACAGAAUGGUACCUCACCCUCGGUCCUGAAUAACUUUGGCUAAGUGAAGAUUACAAAAGGAGUACUCUAUACGGGAAUUGAGCAAGCAAACAAAGAAAUGAUCCACAAGUAUUUUACAUGAAAUGACCAUAAUGAUAGCUAAUUCAUAUUAUAAAACAUGCCAUUUUUCCAGACUGGGUAAAAACUGAAAAAUGAAAUCUCCUUUCUGUCUUACGAAGUUCAUUGAAUUAAACCUUUUCCUUAAAGGAAACCACAUUAUAUAACAGUUUUCUAAUGUAAAAAAUUUAACAGGCAAGUAUUGGUGAAGAGUGUGCUUGAUAAAUCUUGCUAUACAACGGAACAACCCUACUGUCUUCUGUAACAUUACCUUUUGAGAAAUGUCAGUUAUGCAUGAGAGUAUCCUACAAAUUUUGAGAUGAAACUAAGCCAGAAUCCUGUUCACAUUAUUCAUACAUGACUUGUGGUUCACUGAACUGUAACAAUGCAAGCCAUUUCACAAAGUCUUUUAAUGCUAAACUGGCAGGGCCACUUUUGCAAGGCUUUUCUAUGCCAGCUCAAUCCUUGAUCUCUUUUGUGUAGAAAUGCCAAGAAUAUCAACUUUUGUUUAUGAGUUCUAAUAGACAUUAUUUUUCAUUUGAGAGCAAGUCUGAAAAGAGCAUGUACCCUCCAAUUCUUUGUCUCUUUUAGCUCUUAGCAUGAUACUGAAAUAUCAGAAGUAAUUAAAGAAAAUUAUAUCGUAAAUCCCAAGAUAAAAGUGUGACUAAUGAUUAAUUCUCUGGUAUUUUGUCAAAACCCUUCUCAUAAUUCCAAAGCUCUAGUCAAUAUUCACAUAACUAAUUCUCCCUAAGUAAAUUUUUCUUUCCACUAGGAAAAUGUUUGUGUGCUGCUUAAUAAAUAGUUUCUUAAAGUUCCAAGUAUAUAGUUUGUGUAGUUGUUUUUCUUUACUAUUUUGAUCAAAACUUUGAUUUUCAAAAGAGUGUGUAUUUUGAGAGUCACACUAAGGGAUUUAAUUUUUACAUAUAUAUGUAUUUCAUUCUGGCAUCAAGAAGAUGAAGAAGACUUAUUUUCCAUAAAGGUAUAAAAAUCUAAUGGUACCUUUUAUCUGAUUUACACUUCAGUUAAAAGACUGAAGGCUUUUUCCAAAGAAAGAGCUUUCAGAAUUAUGCUUCUUACACCAUAAAUGCACAAAGAAAACAGAUACAGUAAAUUCAAUUUUCAAGUCUCCUUUUCUGAUAUAUACUUACUACACAUUAGUUAUUAAACUAUUACCUUGCUGUCUUUUUUCAAAUCCCCAGCUAUUCUUACAUCUCAUUCUGUUGCCCAUGUUAUCUGUUGCUCUGUACGUCUUUGAAUUCAAACUACAAAACUAAGCCAAUAAAUUCAACUAAUUUAUUGAACUACAAUGCUUUCAUCUAAGCAGGGCUUUUAAUGGUCCAUAUAGGAACAAAUUUCACUGGUUAUUCUAAUGGAAAUUUUUUGUCUGUUGAAUUUUUUCCCCUCUGUUAGUUUUAACUGACUGUAUUUGAUGCUCAAGUUUUGACGCAGUCUGCUUUUUAUAUUUUUAAUAUUGAUUAGAAUUUUCAAUCUGAAUGAGUUUUCAAAGACACAAAUUAAUCAGCCUUUCAACAACAAUUAUCAAAAACUAUAUUAAACAUUUCAUUUUUCACACUGCAAUAUGAAAUCAGGAGAAUUUCAGUUUAUUCCUUUGGCUACAUUAAUUUAUUUAUUUUGGCUCUAUUUUGUUAUCUUAGAUAUGCAUUUAUUUAUUUUCUA